rnacentral:rRNA from 1 species
UACGGAGGAUCCGAGCGUUAUCCGGAUUUAUUGGGUUUAAAGGGUGCGUAGGCGGCCUAUUAAGUCAGGGGUGAAAGACGGUAGCUUAACUAUCGCAGUGCCUUUGAUACUGAUGGGCUUGAAUGUAGUUGAGGUAGGCGGAAUGUGACAAGUAGCGGUGAAAUGCAUAGAUAUGUCACAGAACACCAAUUGCGAAGGCAGCUUACUAAAGUAUAUUGACGCUGAGGCACGAAAGCGUGGGGAUCAAACAGG